AUACGGAGGGUGCGAGCGUUGUUCGGAAUUAUUGGGCGUAAAGAGCAUGUAGGCGGUCUGUUAAGUCUGGUGUGAAAGCCCGGGGCUCAACCCCGGAAGUGCAUUGGAUACUGGCAGACUUGAGUAUGGGAGAGGAAAGCGGAAUUCCGAGUGUAGGAGUGAAAUCCGUAGAUAUUCGGAGGAACACCAGUGGCGAAGGCGGCUUUCUGGACCAAUUCUGACGCUGAGAUGCGAAAGCGUGGGGAGCGAACAGGAUUAGAAACCCCGGUAGUCC
rnacentral:rRNA from 1 species